CAAACCCCUUUUUAAAAAAANNGNANAAUGACCUCAUUUUUGCAAUAAAACGCAAUCAAUACAACUUUCAACAACGGAUCUCUUGGCUCUCGCAUCNAUGAANAACGCANCGAAAUGCGAUACGUAAUGUGAAUUGCAGAAUUCANUGAAUCAUCGAAUCUUUGAACGCACCUUGCGCCCCUUGGNAUUCCNAGGGGCACACCCGUUUGAGUGUCNUGAAAAUCUCAACCUUCUCGGUUUCUUCUGGACACCGAANGGAGGCUUGNACUUUGGAGGCCUUUGCUGGCGUCUCUCUCUUUUGAGAAAGGGUCAGCUCCUCUCNNAUGAAUUANCGGGGUCCUCUUUGCCGACCCUCGACAUGUGAUAAGAUGUUUCCAUGUCUUGGUU
rnacentral:misc_RNA from 1 species